CCUACGGGAGGCAGCAGUGAGGAAUAUUGGUCAAUGGGCGCGAGCCUGAACCAGCCAAGUAGCGUGAAGGAUGACUGCCCUACGGGUUGUAAACUUCUUUUAUAAAGGAAUAAAGUGAGGCACGUGUGCCUUAUUGUAUGUACUUCAUGAAUACGGAUCGGCUAACUCCGUGCCAGCAGCCGCGGUAAUACGGAGGAUCCGAGCGUUAUCCGGCUUUAUUGGGUUGAAAGGGAGCGUAGAUGGGUUGGUAAGUCAGGCGUGAAAGUUUGGGGCUCAACCGUAAAAUUGCAAUUGAUACUGGCAGGCUUGAGUGCAGGUGGGGAAGGCGGAAUUCGUGGUGUAGCGGUGAAAUGCUUAGAUAUCACGAAGAACACCGAUGGCGAAGGCAGCUUACUAAACUGCCACUGACAUUGAUGCUCGAAAGUGUGGGUAUCAAACAGGAUUAGAUACCCCUGUAGUC
rnacentral:rRNA from 1 species